CCCCGGGCUCANCCUGGGAACUGCGUUCUGAACUGGGUGACUAGAGUGUGUCAGAGGGAGGUAGAAUUCCACGUGUAGCAGUGAAAUGCGUAGAGAUGUGGAGGAAUACCGAUGGCGAAGGCAGCCUCCUGGGAUAACACUGACGUUCAUGCCCGAAAGCGUGGGUAGCAAACAGGAUUAGAUACCCUGGUAGUCCACGCCCUAAACGAUGUCGAUUAGCUGUUGGGCAGCAUGACUGCUUAGUAGCGAAGCUAACGCGUGAAAUCGACCGCCUGGGGAGUACGGUCGCAAGAUUAAAACUCAAAGGAAUUGACGGGGACCCGCACAAGCGGUGGAUGAUGUGGAUAAAUUCGAUGCAACGCGAAGAACCUUACCUGGUCUUGACAUGUACGGAAUCCUCCAGAGAUGGAGGAGUGCCUUCGGGAGCCGUAACACAGGUGCUGCAUGGCUGUCGUCAGCUCGUGUCUUGAGAUGUUGGGUUAAGUCCCGCAACGAGCGCAACCCUUGUCAUUAGUUGCCAUCAUUAAGUUGGGCACUCUAAUGAGACUGCCGGUGACAAGCCGGAGGAAGGUGGGGAUGACGUCAAGUCCUCAUGGCCCUUAUGACCAGGGCUUCACACGUCAUACAAUGGUCGGUACAGAGGGUAGCCAAGCCGCGAGGCGGAGCCAAUCUCACAAAACCGAUCGUAGUCCGGAUUGCACUCUGCAACUCGAGUGCAUGAAGUCGGAAUCGCUAGUAAUCGCAGGUCAGCAUACUGCGGUGAAUACGUUCCCGGGUCUUGUAC
rnacentral:rRNA from 1 species